AAUACAUGCAAGUCGAACGAGAUCUUCGGAUCUAGUGGCGCACGGGUGCGUAACGCGUGGGAAUCUGCCCUUGGGUUCGGAAUAACUUCUGGAAACGGAAGCUAAUACCGGAUGAUGACGUAAGUCCAAAGAUUUAUCGCCCAAGGAUGAGCCCGCGUAGGAUUAGCUAGUUGGUGAGGUAAAGGCUCACCAAGGCGACGAUCCUUAGCUGGUCUGAGAGGAUGAUCAGCCACACUGGGACUGAGACACGGCCCAGACUCCUACGGAG
rnacentral:rRNA from 1 species